rnacentral:rRNA from 1 species
GAUCAUGGCUCAGGACGAACGCUGGCGGCGUGCUUAACACAUGCAAGUCGAACGAGAAUCUGUGGAUCGAGGAUUCGUCCAAGUGAAGCAGAGGACAGUGGCGGACGGGUGAGUAACGCGUGAGGAACCUGCCUUUCAGAGGGGGACAACAGUUGGAAACGACUGCUAAUACCGCAUGAUACAUUUGGGUGGCAUCAUCUGAAUGUCAAAGAUUUAUCGCUGAAAGAUGG